CAUCAUCCCUUCUGGAUAUGAUGAUGGAAAGAAGGAUUUAAAAUCAAGAAAAUUAUGGGGCAACCCUGACCAUCCUCUUCAUGAGACUGUAUUAGGAAAACAAUCUCUUUAGUCAGGGGCUUCUUCAAUUUCUCUAGUACAGUUCUCUACCAACAACCAUCUCCAUCAGCAAUAUUUCUCUGAAUGAUUUCAAUUAAUAUGAGUUACAACUACAUUUAAUUUCCAUUUGGGUUCAAUAAAGUGUUAUCCCAACACCGACUCGUGGUGUAUACCGCCACCUACAGUACUGGAGUAUGUAGGACAGAAUUUCCAUCAGCGAAUUAAUUACACCUGUUAGCUUAGCGGUUGCUGUCCUGACCAGCUCUUUUUGGACGAAGGAUGACUUCCCUUUUUGCUUCCAGUGUUUUUUAUUUAUUUAUUUAUUAUCUCUUCAGCAAUGAGCCAGCGUCCAUAUUAACCAUGGCUGGUGUUUGAAGGAAGCUGCAGGUAGCUGAAGUGCAACUUUGGAAAAGCAGGGGCGGUUCUAGGAUCAACUGAAGGUGCCCCUUCUCCACAAAAGCCUGACGAACUUCAAGGAUAUGCACUGCCUAGCCAAAAAA